GUUCGAAAGCUCUUAAUGGGAAAAAUAUCAUCAAAUUGUUAUAAAUUGCAUAGCUUCCGAAAGUUCCGAUAUUUAAGCAAAUUGACGAAUUGCAGAUUUACUCAAUGAUAUAACAAUGAGUCAAAAAGAGCUGAAAUAAUCGUAUCAUUAAAUUUAUACCUAGCGCGCAAAAGGUAUACGUGUAGUAUAGUCAUUAUUUUGCUUUCUUUCCAAUUACAUACGCGUAACGAACAUUACCAAAGUGAAAGGAAACGAGAAUAUAAGGUUUGCUAACUUGAUUCUCGAUUGUAAAUUCUAGGAUAAUGGAAAAGUACAUGCGAGCUUGCGGCACGAAAUGAUUUGAAGCAAUCAUUCUGCAUUUUGUUCCGAAAAUGCAAUUUAUGAAGAUCAAUUGUGAUAGCCACACCUAUAUGUCUGUAUUUAUACAUGUGUGGCGUAAACGAAUUCAUAUUAUACAUAUACAAAAUAUAUGAAGUUAUGUGAAUAGAUAUAUGCUUCGGCUAAUAUAAUAAUAACUUUCAUUAUAAAAUAUAAUUUUAUGCAAUCGAAAUUCUACUGUUCAUUGGCACUAGCUGCAAGUGUAAAAGACAGCGGUCUCCUCGAUAUAUAUCGCUGUCGGCACCGUCGAGUGGGAAGAUUCAAUGACAGAAUCAGAUAUAGCUUGCACUAAUCGCUGCAUCUACCAGGUAUACUUUCUUUGCGCUGAGACAAUCAGUACAGACAUUAGUCGUCGCAAAAGAUGACUUCAUAUGUAACGUUUAAAUAAAUUAAAUAUUUAUUGGUCCUGUCGGUCGGCUAAAGUGUAAAGCUGUUACCUACGAAAGGUUUAGGGCAACUUUGCGGUGCCACUUAACGUCAAACGGAGGCCUAUGAGAUUACUUACACUUUUGGCAAUGAGUGGAUAAUUAAAGAUAACCUUACGAAGGUGCGUUGCUUUGCCUCUUUUUUGAUUAAAGGAAACUCCUCAAUGAGCAAAUGGAGCAGAUGGAUUGCGGCGAAACAUGACAUUUGCAUCUUGCUUCGCUUUUGGAAAAAUAUAAAGUCAAGAUGCAAGCAUCUCACGGCAAUACGUAGCACUAUAUCGUUUGAGCAUUCUUUUCGUAUGCUAGCCUUUGUCACGUUUCUCUUUCACUUUUGAAAAGUGAAAUUUUCAAAUUCGAUAAAACAUAUCGGACAAAGCUGACUAAUUUUUUAAUGCAUUUCAACUUAAAUAUCAGUGUUAAUGCUGUUGCGGAGGUGGUCACUUAUGCAAUAGGGUACUUCAUUUCGUUGAAAGAACUGAUCAGAUUUGCAAAGACGCAGUCAAGUUCAGCGAGGAGGCAUUCGAAGUUUAACCCUGAUGACCAAUACAAUCUGCCUCGCAGUAAAUGUAGAAAUGAGUGAAAUCAGGUAUUCAAUUUCGAAAAAGCUCUCCACAAGGAACGGCGAUUUUUGUAAGUUCUGGCCACACCCAAAAAUCUCAAAAACUUUUGUUCGACCAGCUAAUAUAUAUUAUUUGCUCCAAGUCCCUCUACUUCAUACCGAUCAACCACUACCUCCGCACGAUGUGUAUUCUAUUUCAUGAUCGCAUUUGGUGGCGAUAAUAUCGUCGAUCAAGACUUUCGUUCAUCGUUCUUUCUUCUUCUCUCUUACUGGGGUUUAUUAUCAAGUGUGUGUGAUAGGAAGUGCAAUUUGCCGAUGACAGCGUUUUGUUUGACUCAUUCUCUUUCAAGAAAAGACAUUGUAAGGACGCGCUGCAUGAUGAAAUCUACAUACUGGGUGAGACAUUCAAUGCAGACCUCGCUGAAUUUGGUCGAGCAAACAGGGUUAACUUUAAAGCCAACAUAAGCCUGCGCUGUUUCUUAACGUAUAGGAAGGCAAGGAGAAGUGGAGAGAAUUCACAUUCCAUUCCGCGAUGUCAAUGUAGGAGAAUUAAUAACCUCUCGAUGUUAUGGAAAUGAGAAUUCAACGUGAUGUUCUUUGGAUACAAUGUGUAUUCGAAGUGUGAACAAAAACAACUUCUUUGGAGACGGCAUCCGUAGCAUAUAAUAUGAGUAUGUCUGACCGAACUUAUAGUAUGAUUCGCUUGUAUAGGCGGGAUCGUCUAAGUCUUGCAAAUCAUUCAUAACCACAUUUAGUGAUUGUUUAAUAGCGCAGCCAUACCUUAGACUACACUACGCCAGUCUUCGUCAACUUUCCGACAGAUUUCGAUGGCUACUAACGUGCGACGCCUCUUUACCAUCAUCGUCUCCUGUGUUGAAACCAGCAAACCAUUUUCUCCCCAUUCAUUUUUAAUAAAGCAUCUUCGUACGAAAACAUCACGAAUUUUUUUACUUCUUUCUAAAACUACGUCUCGAUUUUCGGAAAAUAUGUUUUAAAAACUAUAAAAAUUUGUGAUUUUUUAUAGAAAAAAAAUGUGUAUAUACAUAUCCGAAUCGUCAUUACGGAAGGAAUAGCGCAGUUCAAAGAAAAUUUUUUAUCUUCCCUUUUGAAGUCCAUAAA